rnacentral:rRNA from 1 species
AGCGAACGCUGGCGGCAGGCUUAACACAUGCAAGUCGAGCGGGCAUCCUUGUGGUGUCAGCGGCAGACGGGUGAGUAACGCGUGGGAACGUGCCCUUCGGUUCGGAAUAACUCAGGGAAACUUGAGCUAAUACCGGAUACGUUCGAGAGCAGAAAGGUUUAUCUGCCGAAGGAUCGGCCCGCGUCUGAUUAGCUAGUUGGUGAGGUUAUGGCUCACCAAGGCGACGAUCAGUAGCUGGUCUGAGAGGAUGAUCAGCCACACUGGGAAUGAGACACGGCCCCGACUCCGACGGGAGGCAGCAGUAGGGAAUAUUGGACAAUGGGGGCAACCCUGAUACAGCCAUGCCGGGUGAGUGAUGACGGCCUUAGGGUUGUAAAGCUCUUUUCUUCGGGACGAUAAUGACGGUACCGGAGGAAUAAGCCCCGGCUAACUUCGUG